rnacentral:rRNA from 1 species
GAUGAACGCUAGCGGCAGGCUUAAUACAUGCAAGUCGAGGGGCAGCACGGUUAGCAAUAACUGGUGGCGACCGGCGCACGGGUGCGUAACACGUAUACAAUCUACCUUAAACAGGGGAUAGCCUUUCGAAAGAGAGAUUAAUACCCGUAAUAAAUUGAACGGCAUCGUUUGAUUUUGAAAGCUCCGGCGGUUUGAGAUGAGUAUGCGUCUGAUUAGCUAGUUGGUGAGGUAACGGCUCACCAAGGCGACGAUCAGUAGGGGAUCUGAGAGGACUAACCCCCACACUGGUACUGAGACACGGACCAGACUCUACGGAGGCAGCAGUAAGG